rnacentral:rRNA from 1 species
CCUACGGGAGGCAGCAGUGGGGGAUAUUGGACAAUGGGGGGAACCCUGAUCCAGCGACGCCGCGUGAGUGAAGAAGUAUUUCGGUAUGUAAAGCUCUGUCAGCAGGGAAGAAAGAAAUGACGGUACCUGACCAAGAAGCCCCGGCUAACUACGUGCCAGCAGCCGCGGUAAUACGGAGGGGGCAAGCGUUAUCCGGAAUUACUGGGUGUAAAGGGAGCGUAGACGGUUAAGUAAGUCUGGAGUGAAAGGCCGGGGCCCAACCCCGGGACUGCUCUGGAAACUAUUGAACUUGAGUGCAGGAGAGGUAAGCGGAAGUCCUAGUGUAGCGGUGAAAUGCGUAGAUAUUAGGAGGAACACCAGUGGCGAAGGCGACUUACUGGACUGUAACUGACGUUGAGGCUCGAAAGCGUGGGGAGCAAACAGGAUUAGAUACCCCAGUAGUC